CUCAAACAAGUGAAGCUUAAUGAUGGAGAACUUCUCACAAAAGGGAGAAAAGGACUUCUAGCAACUAGGAAUUAUGGGAUACUCUUCUGUUCUCCUUUCCAGAGUCCCCUUUCCCCAAACCAAUAGCAUAGGGUCUGCCCAAUGGUAACCUGGUACCAUCUUCUUCCUCUGCCCUGCUCCUCUUCAUCACCCCACCUCUUCAGCAUGGUCUCUGCUCCAGUUUCUACUUAGGUUGUCUUUUGUGACAUUUGAUACCUACUUGAGUUUGUUAUGAGGCCAAGAAUUCCUAGUCAUAGCUGUGGUUCCGAAAUUCUCUGAGGAAACCAAAAAUGUUCAGGGAGGGCCAAAAAUGCUGACCUUCAAAAGGAACUUUCUCCUAAGGCUCAUUGAGUAUUCAAGUCAGCUUCACCUUGGAAAUCUCUCUCUUUAAAGACUCAGUUGAUGCUUUACAUGAAACCACUCAGAUUUGGAUAAGGAAGACAAAAAAAAAAUCAACCCACCUGCUGCCACAUGUCAAGCAAUCUGAAGUGGGGUUGGCCUUUUUCAUCUUCUCUCAAAGAUGGAAGCCAGAAGUACUCAAAGCGACUUGACUUGAAGCUCGAUGCUUCCCAGAGGAGAAUGGCCUUGAAGGAUCUCAAAAGAAGACUGGUGAAGGGAAAGAAGUUGUUAUGGCAGAAAGCCAUGGAAAGAUUUUCUUCAGUGGUACUUUCAGAGAUGUGGCAACCAGGGCAGAGAUGGAGGUGGGAAGUCAAGUCAAGGCAAUACCAGGGAUAUAAAGAAUUUUCACAGGUAAAGGACCAAAGGCUGUGAUGCCCUACAGCUCAGAAGAGCUCUGGAACUGUGUAAGAGCCAGUCUGUUUGGAAUCGGCCUCCCUGCCUCCCCUUGGGCACACCUUUCUGAUCUUUUGCAUCCAUUCAUUCUUGAUGGUUUGGGUCUCUCCGUGGGAAGCUCCAAGGAGAAUGAGUGAUCAGGGAGUGGCUGCUGCAGGGCUCCUGUCAGGACAAUCACUCUUCCUUGAAUGCGCAGGCACGCAGGAUGCCUGCUCUCUCGGGUGGCUCAGAACAUCUGCUCUGCUCAGGCUAAGCCUUCUGUCUUACCAGUACUCAGGGUGCUUUCCUUUUGUGGAGGAUUUAGGGCUCUUCGUGGGCUCUUGUUGAUUCCAGAAAUUUGCCAAACGUUUCACUGGUUCCUCAGAGCUUUGGGCUGUGUACUUCCUUGUUGUUAAUUGCCGGAAACCCUAUGUUUCCUAAUUGUCAAAGCAACAGUGAGAAGUGAGGUUGGCAGAUGUUCCUGAUUGAUGGUGAAGGAGGGAAUACGCCUUCCACAGUAAAGAGAGUUCCUUUUGGAACCACUAAAUCUUUUGUUUUCUAAAUUGUGUUUAGACAGGGUUCUCUGCUGCCUAAAGAGGCCAGGUCUGUUGUAUUUCCCAUUUUCCCCAGGUUCUCCAGUGCCCCCAAAGGAUUGUGGGGCUCUUAUCUCUGUUAUUGGCUAGAGUGUUUUCUAGCCACUGUAUUUUUUACUUCUGGGGUCCCCAAUACCCUGGUUCCAUCCUAUCACUGAAAAAUCAGCUUUCACAAAGGGAUAUUUCCUUCCAAGAUACAACAAAAGCAAAUAUGUGUAUGUUUCUUUCUUUCUACCACCACUACCUCCGAUAACAAAGAUCCAUAGGUCCUCCUUCCACACUUUUCUCCUUUCCCCAUCCCUCCUGCCUUGUAUCGGUUCAGUAUCUGGGGAAGGGAGGGCUAUUAGGAAGGGAUAAUCAUUUAAGCUCAGUUCUACAUUGCAUUAGUUCUACCAAGCCCUAGCUCCAAUGCAACUUGGCUUUUUAGGGUUUCCCUGCUGGGCUGGCUGCAACACCCAACCUGGGAUCCUGACUCCAAGGUCCCCAUGAAAUGAUCUCCAGAUAGAGGAUUAACAUAGAACUGGAAAGGAUAAAGUCUGCUUCAGAGUUACAUGGCUUGGGGCUGGUUGUGGUGUCUUUAGACUCUUCUUCCAUUUAUUUUUUAUUGAUUCUUGCUAUGAGAGAGAUUAAUCUCUGAACGCCAUCAGAAAAAGAAAGAAACUCUUCCAUCAGCUGGUUUUAAAGACCCAACCAGUUCAGUCUUUUAAACCAACAGAAAGAGGCUCAUGUUUGCCACUUCUCCCAUCUCUCAGAAGGAGGUCCUUGAUGUCUCCUAUGUAGGUCCCUCUAUUUUGGGAAUUCUGGGUAUGCUCUGAAUGCCAGUGCAUAUAGAGAAGUUAUAUUAUGUGGCAUACUCAGGGGCUAGCAGAUAGUCAGUAGCAAGACAGCAUCAGAUAUCCUGAUUCCAAGCCCAGUAUUCUAGCCUGAUAUUCUCAAAGUUUUUUAUUAUAUAUCCCUAUCAGUAAAAUAAAUUGAGUAUAUGCCCCACAUAUACAUAUAUGUGUUUAUAUAUGUACUUAUAAGUAAUAUGCAGGUACUACAACACUAAUAAUUAUUUGCAUUAAAACAUACACACAAAUUAAAAUGAAAAAGGAUGAGGUAAACAACAUAAUAUCUAAGUCAACAGGGAGCCACUGGAGCUUAUUGGGUAGGGAAGUUAGGUUGUCUGGUCUGUGAUUUAAGAAAAUCACUUUAGGAAUGAUGUGGAUUAGAGAGUGUUGAGACUUGAGGCAGGCAGAUCAAUUCAGAGGCUAGUUCAAUUGUUGAGGUGAGAGGUGAUUAAGCCAGGAUAAUGGCUCUGUGAGUAGUGAUAAGGGGCCAGGUACAAGACAUCCAGGAAGAGAAAAUGCAGAAUUUGGCCACUGAUUGAAUAUGGGAAGUGAGUCAGAGUAAGGAAUCAAGAUUCACAUGGAGGUGGUAAACUAGUGUGAUGGGGAAGGAUGGUGGUUCCCUUGACAAUAAUUGGGAAGUAAGAGAAAGAACUCAGUUUGGGAUGGGGGGGGAUAGUAUAAACAAGAUCUCUGGGGCAAGCCAUAUCCCAUCAUUGCCUCCUUAUCUUGUGCCACUCACUCUGAAAUCAAAUGGGGGAGACUCUUCUUCAAUGGCUCUUGUCCUAAGGCCAUUUGAGAGAUAGAUGUCUGCUAUAGCCUUGAAGGGCUCUGAAGACCAGGGUACACUGGGGAUGGGCAUUUUCUACUGUUAUCUUCCCAGUUACCAGUUGUUGUUUGUCCUUUGUUUUUGAAGAGGACCAAUGACAUCAGAGUGAUGUCUUGAUUCACUCAUGAGUUGGAUUUAAGUGAGGCAGAGUUGCAUAAAGUCAUCAACCUCACUCUUUCUUCCAGGCUUAUCAAUGUUCAGUGGCAAGACAAAAGUCAAGAUGCCUGGUGAUGUCCAGGGAUACAGUGAAUGACUUUGGCUUCUUCAGUGUCCAACAGAAGCUUACUUCUGUUGCUUUUGUGGAUGUUGAAAUAAAUUGUUCUCAUCCACCCCUUCCACCAGGGAGAUGUCUUCUCAUGCCUAGGGUAGACGUCUGAGCACGAGUGCCUCAAAUGAGGUUAGGUUAUAGAUGCCCCAAGGGAUACAUGUUGGGAGAGAGGGGGAGAAGUUAGGAGGUCUCAUGACCCAGGAGGGAACCAGAGUUAACCCUUAACUGUUGGGGAGAUAAUGAGUGAAUGGGGUGGGUUUGAUUGCGCUGGAGAAGAACCUCAUAAUUGAUGAUUAUAGGAAGAAUGGGUUGUGGCCUAUCUUUCCAAUUCUUUAUUGACUGAUUAUUUACCCCUUGGAGUUAUUCUGCCACCUCCCUCUAAAACUUGGGUACCACUGGGAGGGAGUCCUGGGCUUGGAACAAGGAUAACCACAGAUCCAAUGCUCUCUUUGAUACAAAUCUGCUGUUUGAAACGAUGAUCCUUAAGUAAAUAAGUAGAUGCAAACUAAUGCCCCUGUACUUGCUUAUAGACCUCUAAUGAGGGCAGAGAAACUGAGGCUCUUCCUCAGUUCACUGAAUUUAAAAUCUGUUGAUAGCAAAUGCAUUUAUUUAGCAACCCAAGAAUUUAAUAAGGUGAGUCUUGAACCCAGGUCUUCAUGACUAUGAUGCCAAUUUUCUAGAUGCUCUCUUGAAUCUUAUGAGCAAGAAUAAUGAGUCAAAACAGACAAUGAACAUGGAGCUAAGUCCAUCCUGCCCUGUCCUGUCCUGCCUUAGGGUCUUGGCCACCCCUCUCCAUGGGACAUUUGCCCAAUAAAAUUUCAUUAUGUAUCUGUUAUGUGCCACCCCAUCUCCAUUUUGUUCUGCUGGGAUCAUGCUUGGUUUGUGAUCCUUUCCUCAGACACCAGAACCUCUCCCCCUUAUGCCUUUGCUUAUGUUAUAAAAAUAUAGUAGUCCCUUUUGUAGAUCCAGGUCUCAGUCCCUACCAGUGCAAUACACUGUUUUCAUGCUCCAAAAGAAUUCGGUGGGAGGAACCGUAGGUUACUGACAACGCUUUGUCUCAAGUCGCUGUUCAUGACUUGUCUUUUAGUGUUAAAACAAGAAGAUGGUUUUUAAGAUUAUUGCAGCUUAUAAAUGACAUCUAAUGCCAGUAAUCCUUGAUUUAUUUAAAGAGAGUGACUCACCUUAGCCAUAAACUGAAUGGUGGGACAUUUUCCUGAAAGAUGACUUGAAUUUUGUUUGGGAAAUGGCAUUGCUCCUCACAUGUUGACUCCUACAAGAGACUAUUAUCGCUUCAUUGAUUUGCUCACUUGCUGUCCAUUAAGCUCUUUCUGUAUACAAUGGUUUUCAUCAAAGAUAGAUAACUUUCUAUCACUAUUAUCAGAGCCUAUAUGGCUAAUUUCACAGAAUAACACUGAAAUGAGUCCCCAGUGAGAGAACCUGUAAGUUCACAUCUGCUUUCAAUAGAUGUGCUAGCCUCUCUGCAUGUUAAAAUUCCCCACAUGGCUCUCUUUACUCUUCUCACUCGUGAUUGCUAUUUGCUAUCAGUCAGUGCAUCCCUGGCCUCACCUUGGGGAAUUGGCAGCAGUUGUUGCUGCUUGGGCUUUGGCUAAAACAGAUGAUCUUUUAAAUUGAAUCUCAGAUUUGUUCAGGGUUGAUAUAGCUUUUUGUGUACUUAGAAACAUGGAUCCUUUAAAAGUUCAUGUCGGUUGAGCAAAUUUGAAUAACCAAAUGGUAAUUCAAUGCAUAUUUUUCUUUGUGUGUUUUUUAUUUAAAAAUUUCAUUUCAUUUCACUUAUUUAACUAUUUAUUUUUCAGAGAUGAGAUAGAAAAGGGGCUUUGGAGCCUGGUUGCUCCUAGUAGUGCUUACAUAGUGAUGCUACUGUUAAAAACCUUCAUUUUUAAGGAAUAACACUGGACCCCAGAAAGCACUACUCUCAUUCCUGGCCCUGAAGCCCUCUCUUAGAUUUGUUGUUGGGUAUUUUGAGUAGUCUUUUUUGCAGAGUGCAAUACACUGUUUUCAUACUCCAAAAGUAAAAAAAAAAAUCAAUAGCAAACAACAUUUGAGACAAAAGCAAUGUGAAUUACAAUAAAGAAAAUAAUCUGGCUGGAGAAUAGCUCUUAGCUCCCAUAUACAAGAGGUAUGAACCCUUUAUGUGUUCCAGGGGUCUAUUAAUCUAGUUUAUUUUUACUUCCUCCAACAUAUUCCUGCGUACUUAUAGUAACUGCAGAAAUAAUGACCCAAUGGCAAAAGUUUAGGGCUUAGUGCUGUUUAUCUCAUGGUCAUCUGCCAAAGCUUCUCAACUAGGCUUGGUUUGCUCCCCGUUCCUGGGUUCAGUCAUCAUGAUCUUUCUGCAAUGCUUGCUCCCCUUCCAUCUCAAUGCUUCAACCACAAUGUACACCUUGCUUCCCAGUCUCUACUUAUCUACUCCUUUGAAUUUCCAGUGUUUUAAACCACCUUCCACUUUGAUAUACUAACACCAACCCCCCCAACCACCAAGAGUUUUCAGAAGAAUUGAAAUUUUUGGAAGAAAACAAGAAGAACCCACCCCUUCCCAGUUGACUGAGAUGAAACAGAAUGAAAAAGGAUCACAGGCUUUAGGGGUGAACUAUGACUUUGUGAUCUCAUCCAACUGCUUCAUUGUACAGAUAUGGAAACCAAGACUUCUAAAGAGUAAAGCAGCUCCAAAGUCAAAGCAGGAGUAAGCAGUAGAUCUGAGAAAUGAAACAAGCACCUUUGAAUUCAGACCUGGGGCUCUUUCCAUUAAAUUGCUCUACCUCAAUCAUAGUCUUGUC